UACGUAGGGGGCAAGCGUUGUCCGGAUUUAUUGGGCGUAAAGAGCGUGUAGGCGGCCAUGUAGGUCCGUUGUGAAAACUCGAGGCUCAACCUCGAGACGCCGAUGGAAACCAUGUGGCUAGAGUCCGGAAGAGGAGAGUGGAAUUCCUGGUGUAGCGGUGAAAUGCGCAGAUAUCAGGAAGAACACCCGUGGCGAAGGCGGCUCUCUGGGACGUGACUGACGCUGAGACGCGAAAGCGUGGGGAGCAAACAGG
rnacentral:rRNA from 1 species